UUGUACCUGGUGGCGAGCGGCGGACGGGUGAGUAAUGCCUAGGAAUCUGCCUAGUAGUGGGGGAUAACGUCCGGAAACGGGCGCUAAUACCGCAUACGUCCUACGGGAGAAAGUGGGGGAUCUUCGGACCUCACGCUAUUAGAUGAGCCUAGGUCGGAUUAGCUAGUUGGUGAGGUAAUGGCUCACCAAGGCGACGAUCCGUAACUGGUCUGAGAGGAUGAUCAGUCACACUGGAACUGAGACACGGUCCAGACUCCUACGGGAGGCAGCAGUGGGGAAUAUUGGACAAUGGGCGAAAGCCUGAUCCAGCCAUGCCGCGUGUGUGAAGAAGGUCUUCGGAUUGUAAAGCACUUUAAGUUGGGAGGAAGGGCAGUUACCUAAUACGUGAUUGUUUUGACGUUACCGACAGAAUAAGCACCGGCUAACUCUGUGCCAGCAGCCGCGGUAAUACAGAGGGUGCAAGCGUUAAUCGGAAUUACUGGGCGUAAAGCGCGCGUAGGUGGUUUGUUAAGUUGGAUGUGAAAGCCCCGGGCUCAACCUGGGAACUGCAUCCAAAACUGGCAAGCUAGAGUAUGGUAGAGGGUGGUGGAAUUUCCUGUGUAGCGGUGAAAUGCGUAGAUA
rnacentral:rRNA from 1 species